rnacentral:lncRNA from 12 species
CAUCAAUCAGAUGGCGAUAUGCACUAAGCAUGUAAACGACCAUUGAACAAAAGAAGAAAUAAACAGCAUGGCGUGCUUUUUCUUAGUGACUCGUUUAUUCGUUACUCUGUUGAGAAUGUCUUGAGUCUUAACCAGGAACACUCUCUGAGUUUAAUGAACUUACUCCCAGAUGUGUUUUUGGAACCACAUACCUUGAGUAAGCAAGGUUUGGGGUUAAUCAAUCAAAAGUUCAGGGUUUAGCUGACGGUAAGUUAACUGCUUUCUGGAAUACACCCCUGCUCAGUGUUGUUUGCCGCCGUGUUGUCAGUUUGUCAGUUGCACAUCCGCCAUACUUCCUUUUUUUUUUCUUUUGUUUUUUCUUUUUCAUGUAUGUAGUUAUGAAAUGAAUCCUUCAUUAAAAAAGCCAUGGAUCGUGGACAAUAUUAGCCAUAAGAGCGUGCAUAGAUUCACACUUCAAAAAUCUACCUGAAAUAAUAGACCAUCUGACUUUUGACACACUCUGUUCAACAUACUAUGCUUUGGGAAGCACUUAUACUCAUCUAACAUACUAUUUAGGAUGGCUAGUAUGAACAUUGGAAUGCAUGGCCAGUCAGGAGGCAGUUAUUUUCUGGCUAGAAAGUGAACCUCUUUAAUCCUGCCCAGGUAUAAUGAUUUUCAAGCUGUGUGUGCUUACUGAUAAUGUGAUAAUGAGUUAACGAGCUGUCCAGGUGGCACAAAUUGUUUUCUGUUUGGCUUUAAAAGUCCUGGUUUGGUUGACUCUAUGUGUGUAGUUAGUUUGUCUGUGUCAGUGGUUAAGUUUGUGGUAAAGAAUGGGCUUGAUUAAACUUACUCUUUUGGUGUUUCUUUAUCACCAGUUGCUAUGGCAAGGAUGACGGGUCGGGUUCUAACGUCACCUCGCCCCAGGAUGACGGGUCGGGUUCUAUCGCCACCUCGCCCCAGGAUGACGGGUCGGGUUCUACCACAACGCCGGAUGAUGGGUCUGGUUCUGUAAACAGCACUAAGAGUCCUUCUGAAUAUGUUUCGGAUGUGGUGUAGUUAUGUGCUGUCAAACGUUGUUUAAC